rnacentral:rRNA from 1 species
GACGAACCGUGCGAACGUUGUUCGGAAUCACUGGGCUUAAAGGGCGCGUAGGCGGGCUCACAAGUCAGGGGUGAAAUCCCACGGCUCAACCGUGGAAGUGCCUUUGAUACUGUGGGGCUUGAGGGAGGUAGGGGCGUGCGGAACUUCCGGUGGAGCGGUGAAAUGCGUAGAUAUCGGAAGGAACACCGGUGGCGAAAGCGGCGCGCUGGACCUCUACUGACGCUGAGGCGCGAAAGCCAGGGGAGCAAACGGG